UGUUUUAGUAUACGUCUAUAAAUGGCGAGACUGCGAAUAGCUCAUUAAAAGAGAAAUAAUUUAUUUGGACUUUAAGGUUGAAAUGGAUAUCCGUGCUAAUUGCAGGGUUAUUACAUGUUUUCUGUAAUUAGAGUAUUAAUUAUAAUGCAUAUUGGACAUAGUAUUCCACUACUAUAUCUAAGGAUUUAUUAUAAUAUAUUUAAUUGGUUAUUACCAAUUGUCCAUAUAAGUUUCUUACCUAUCAGUCAUUGAUGGUUGGGUAUUGGCCUACCAUAACAUUAACAGGUAACGGGGAAUUAAGGUUUGAUUCCGGAGAAGGAGCUUGAGAAACAGCUACUAUUUCUAAGGAAAGCAGCAGGCGCGCAAAUUACCAAACUUUGUAAUAAAGAGGUAGUUAACAAAACUAUCAGCAUAUAAUGUUUAACAUUUUAUGACUGGAAUGAACAAAGUUUAUAUAUCUUUGCAAGGAACAAUUAAAGGGCAAGUCUGGUGCCAGCAGCCGCGGUAAUUCCAGCUUUAAUAGCAUAUAUUAAAUUUGUUGCAGUUAAAACGCUCGUAGUUAGUUUUGUAUCAUUAUAGAUGUGUGGCAAUCUUGCCAUUACAUCAUAAAUGAUUUAGUAAUGAACUUGGUUUUCGAACUGUAUGUUUAUUACAUUCACUAUAAUAAAAUAAUAGUGUUCAUUGCAAUAUUACAAUGAAUUCUAUAGUGUAGUAUGCAAAUGUAUAGCUUAGCUUUGGGUUUAGUUCAAAACUGAAGUUGAGCAAUAUUAUUAUAAAAACUGUUUAAGGUAUAUAUAAUCAACUGUUAGAGGUGAAAUUCUUAGAUCAGUUGACGAUAUCCUAAUGCGAAAGCAUUAACCUAUGAAGUUUUUCUUAAUAAAGAACGAAAAAGUUAAGGGAUCAAAGACGAUUAGAUACCGUUGUAGUCUUAACUGUAAACUUUACCUAUUAAGGGUAAAAUGUUUUUACUAUAUUCAUCCUAUACUUUAUAAGAAAUUAAAAUAUAAAGGUUCUGGGGGGAGUAUGGUUGCAAGAUUGAAACUUAAAGGAAUUGACAGAAGGGCACCACCAGGAGUGGAGCUUGCGGCUUAAUUUGACUCAACACGGGAAACCUUACCAAGCCAAAACAUAUUAAGGAUUGACAGAUUGAUAGUUUUUUCUUAAUUCUAUGGGUGGUGCAUGGCCGUUCUUAGUUGGUGGAGUGAUUUGUCUGGUUAAUUCCGUUAACGAACGAGAUUUUAACUUCCUUAUUAACAUAUGUUAAUUCAUGUGUUUUAAGGAGGAUUUCAUAUAUCCAAUAUGAUGAAAGAUAAAGCAAUAACAGGUCUGUGAUGCCCUUAGAUGUUUUGGGUUGCACGCGUGCUACAAUAAUAUAUAAAAUAUGGGUUUUGCGCUUGAAUUUUGCGUAAAAAGCAUUUCUAUAUAUAUUAUGCUUGGGAUAGACUUUUGUAACUAUUAGUCUUUAACGAGGAAUUCCUUGUAAAUACAAAUCAUUAUUUUGUAUUGAUUGCGUCCCUGCCCUUUGUACACACCGCCCGUCGCUGCAACUGAUUGGGUAAUUUAGCAAAUAUCUUGGAAAGCCUUUGGAAGCAUUUUGCUGACAAUAAGCUGAAAAGUUGUAAGCUAAAAUUAUUUAGAAAUUGCAAAAGUCG
rnacentral:rRNA from 1 species